AUUGAACGCUGGCGGAAUGCUUUACACAUGCAAGUCGAACGGCAGCACGGACUUCGGUCUGGUGGCGAGUGGCGAACGGGUGAGUAAUGUAUCGGAACGUGCCCAGUCGUGGGGGAUAACGUAGUGAAAAUUACGCUAAUACCGCAUACGAUCUAUGGAUGAAAGCGGGGGAUCGCAAGACCUCGCGCGAUUGGAGCGGCCGAUAUCAGAUUAGGUAGUUGGUGGGGUAAAGGCCCAGCAAGCCAACGAUCUGUAGCUGGUCUGAGAGGACGACCAGCCACACUGGAACUGAGACACGGUCCAGACUCCUACGGGAGGCAGCAGUGGGGAAUUUUGGACAAUGGGCGAAAGCCUGAUCCAGCCAUUCCGCGUGCAGGAUGAAGGCCCUCGGGUUGUAAACUGCUUUUGUACAGAACGAAAAGGUUUCUACUAAUACUAGGAGCUCAUGACGGUACUGUAAGAAUAAACACCGGCUAACUACGUGCCAGCCGCCGCGGUAA
rnacentral:rRNA from 1 species